GUCGCGGGAGAAUGACGUCAGUGAGACGUUUACCAUCAUGGCGGCGGAAGGCUAUGAGGAGAUGAGCGGCAACGGGGAGCUCGAAGAGUCUUCAGCCACGGAGGCCUCUGAGGCCGCCGCAUCGCCUCGAGCCGAAAUGGCAGAGAUGUCGGAAGAGAACGGCGGUCCCGCCGUGGCCCCCGACGUCUCUGUGCGCCCCGACCCCGUUUCCUUCUCCAUGCCCCCACCUGCGGAAGACGACGAGGGGGAACUGCCCGCGGACUUUGAGCGCCUGUGGAAGGCCGCCCACGACAAUCCUCAAGACUUCACCGGCUGGACGGACCUGCUUCAAUACUGCGAGCAAGAGAGUCACAUCACGGCGUCGCGCAGAGCGCUGGCGGCUUUCCUCACUCGCUACCCGCUCUGCUACGGCUACUGGAAGAAAUUUGCCGAUCUGGAACGCCGCGCUGGGUUCAACAACAAAGCAGAGGAGGUGUGUGUCCAGGGUCUACAGGCAAUCCCGCUGAGUGUAGAUCUGUGGAUCCACUACAUCAAUCUGCUGCUGGGAACACUGGACAUGAACCUCCCUGAGUCGCCCUCGAGGAUUCGCAGUGUGUUUGAGGACGCGGUUGUGGCAGCAGGUCUGGACUUCCACUCCGACAGGCUGUGGGAUCUUUAUGUCGAGUGGGAAAAGGAGCAGGGGAACAUGAAGAGAGCCGUAGCAGUCCUGGACAGAGUCCUCAAAGUCCCCACCCAGCUCUACAACACCCACUACGACAAGUUCAAAGACCAACUCAACGGCCAGGAGCCUGAAGAGGUGCUUUCCACAGAGGAAUAUGAGGAGCUGAGGACGCUGUGCCGUCAGACUCAGAAAGCGGAGCGUGCCAAACAGGCCCAGGAGGAGGAGGAGGAGGAGCGGCCGCCAGGGGAGGAAGAGCCCGCCACACCGGAGGGCACCGACUCGGAGGAAUUGAUGCAGAAGAUUAGGGAACAAGUGCUGCUUCGCAGGGACAAAGUGUACCAAGACAACGAGGGAGAGGUCCGCAAGCGUUGGCACUUUGAAGACGCUAUCAAACGUCCUUACUUCCACGUCAAGCCCCUGGAUCGCCUCCAACUGAGGGCCUGGCACUCCUACCUGGACUGGGAGGUCGCCGAGCUGAACAAGGACCCCAAAGACCCCCAAGACUCCCAAGACCCCCAACAAGAUCCAGACCAGGCUGCCACAGAGGAGCCGGAGGUCACAGUCCAGCCACAGGUUGACUCAGAGGGGGCUGCGGUUGCCCAUGACGACACCAGGGUGCGCAUUCUCUUCGAGCGUUGCCUGAUUGCCUGCGCCCUGUAUGAGGAAUUCUGGAUCAGGUACAACCAGUACCUGGAGUCGCAGAGUUUGGAGGAGGCGCGCGCUGUCUUCAAACGGGCCUGUGAGGUCCACCUGGCGUACAAACCCAACAUCCACAUGCAGUGGGCCACCUUCGAGGAGAGGCACGGGGACCUGAGCGAGGCCCGGCGGGUGCUGGAGGCUCUGGAGAAAACGCUCCCGGGAUUGGCGGUCGUCCGACUUCGCAGGGCGGCUCUAGAGAGGCGGGCGGGCCUGCUGGACCAAUCGGAGGCGCUGCUGCGUGAGGCGGUGGACGAAUCCAAAGAGAAUCCCACGUUGCACGCUUUCUUUUCCAUCAAGCUGGCACGGCUGCUGCUGAAGCUGGGCAGGAACCCCAGCAGAGCCCGCGGAGUCUUACAGGAGGCGCUGGAGAUCAGCCCGGACAACGAUAAGCUGCACCUGAACCUGUUGGAGCUGGAGGUGUCGGGCGACCCCUCAGCGGAGGCGGUGCAGGAGUGUGUGACGCGAGCGCUGGCAGCUGCCCUCGCCCCCCACACCAAGAUCCUCUUCUCCCAGAGACGCCUGCAGUUUGCGGAGGACUACAGCAACUCUAUUGCGAGUGUGCUGUCGGUCUACGAGGAGCACCAGAAGCUGCUGAAGCAGUUGGGCGGAACGAAGAGAGGAGCAGAGAACGGGGAUGAGGACUCGGAGAAGAUGAGCAAAAGUGACGACGGCUCGGCUGUUGCCGUGUCUGCAGAAGUGGCAGCGACGAUGGCGCAUGUCCCCAUCACGACGCCGCCUCCUCCUGUGGUGGGCGCCGACGCCAGCUCACAGGCCGCCUAUGGGGGAUACAGCAGCUGGUACCAGACCCUAAAUACACGUCCUUAUGUCAUGUAUUCAGCAUACAGUUGAGACAUCGUACUCUGUCAUAAGAUUGCACCUUUGACUGUAUCCGCUGUGCACGGGACUGUGAGCUGGAAAAGCAUGCUGGCUCGCAUUCCUCAAAUGCGACCUGAUGCAUCAGGACAUCCUGCAGCCGCAAUACGGCAGCUACGGAAGCUACGGCAACUACGGUUACCAGAACACCUGGAACUACAACCAAGGCUACUAUCCCCCCAGCUAGAGGGCGCCGACAGUGACUGUGACACCACAAGGCCACGGCAAAUGUUUUCAGCCCAGGACGACUCUCGGCUGAACAAACUGAAACAUAAACAUGAAAAAUAAUAUCCCAGCAUCCUCUCCUCCCCGUCCUUCCUCUGAGUUACCUCACUCCCCUGGAUGUGAUUAAAGAAGGGUCAGGAUUCGGGCUCUUUUUUGGGGGGGGGGACAUGUUGUGUCAUUUCAGUGUUGAGUCUGCAGCGACGGAUGGAAAGACGAUGAAAGGAAGCCGCUCCUUUUCUCCGCGCAUCAGCGUCUCUCUAUUUUAAUCAGAACUAUUUUUGUAUUUGUUUGCAAGCCCUUUUCUCCCAUUUUAAACUCAUCCAGUUUAUCCAACUUCACAGGUGAUGUAUGAUUGACAUUUUGUACCAUUCCAGAGUAGGAUAUUUGUUGUUUUUUCUAAUGUAUAUAAAGGUGUUUUAUAGUGUCACAACAGAACUAAUUGUGUCUGUUUACUUGUGCUUUCGUCACAAUACUUUGUGAAAGGUCAACUACGGCUUCUUGUAUCUAAAGCAGCUUUUUCUAAAAGUAUUUUUGAAGGAGGAUUGUGAACAUCAUUGCAUCGCCUCGUCUGCAGUCGUUUUAAGAGAAUCUCAUUUCCACGGAAUCAGGCUGUUGUGUGAAGUCCUGUAGCCAGCAGGUCUAUGAGGCUGAAAUCUUUACCUCAAUAGUAUGAAAGCAAAGAUGUCUUGAUUCAUUAAUGGUGGCACCAGUCAAAAGCUAAUCCCAUUGAAUUCCCAUCCAUGUAGGUGACGAGUUAAGAUGAACUUCCAGCAGGAUCAAUGGAGACAUUUAACACGGACGCUUCAUGUGCUGAUGUGCAUUAUUAGCGUGCUAAUUUGCGUGUAUUGAAGUGAAGACUAUCCUCUGAAACCUGCUGGCUCAAUAUGUCCUGCGGCCUUUCGUAACAGCGGACAUUUUCACUCGUCAUAGCAGGAGGAGCUCACGUAAUCCUAACGACGACUCGCUUCUGUUCAGGGUUCUGUUUGGACCCUUCAAAGUAAGGCAGCCAUCGUUCAUUUAUCGACACCUGUGCUUCUCCUACUUUGACAUGUUCACCUGUCGUGGCCCAAAAACGCCAAUCCACAUCUUGCGUUUUAUUUCGUAUGUGAUGGAAUUUUAGUUCACCGGAUGUUUUAAAAAUGUAGGGCUUUAUUUUGUGUCAGAAAACCAGUAUAGUGAGGAUGUGUGUUGGUUUCUUGCAGUUUUGCAUGGUUCAAUAAAAUCCUUAAUUUCUUUGUAUGUAAAA